CCUACGGGAGGCAGCAGUGGGGAAUAUUGCACAAUGGGGGAAACCCUGAUGCAGCGACGCCGCGUGAAGGAAGAAGUAUUUCGGUAUGUAAACUUCUAUCAGCAGGGAAGAAAAUGACGGUACCUGACUAAGAAGCCCCGGCUAACGACGUGCCAGCAGCCGCGGUAAUACGUAGGGGGCAAGCGUUAUCCGGAUUUACUGGGUGUAAAGGGAGCGUAGGCGGCGAUGCAAGUCAGAAGUGAAAGCCCGGGGCUCAACUCCGGGACUGCUUUUGAAACUGUGUUGCUAGAGUGCAGGAGAGGUAAGUGGAAUGCGUAGUGUAGCGGUGAAAUGCGUAGAUAUUAGGAGGAACACCAGUGGCGAAGGCGGCUUACUGGACUGUAAAUGACGCUGAGGCUCGAAAGCGUGGGGAGCAAACAGGAUUAGAUACCCUGGUAGUC
rnacentral:rRNA from 1 species